ACGGGGGGAUCGGGGGCAGUGACUGCAGGUAGAGGUGGCUGAAGGGGUGUGUACAGGGUACAGGUGUAAGGGGGUGACGGGGGGAUCGGGGGGCAGUGACUGCAGGUAGAGGUGGCUGAAGGGGUGUGUACAGGGUACAGGUGUAAGGGGGUGACGGGGGGAUCGGGGGCAGUGACUGCAGGUAGAGGUGGCUGAAGGGGUGUGUACAGGGUACAGGUGUAAGGGGGUGACGGGGGGAUCGGGGGGCAGUGACUGCAGGUAGAGGUGGCUGAAGGGGUGUGUACAGGGUACAGGUGUAAGGGGGUGACGGGGGGAUCGGGGGGCAGUGACUGCAGGCAGAGGUGGCUGAAGGGGUGUGUACAGGGUACAGGUGUAAGGGGGUGACGGGGGAUCGGGGGGCAGUGACUGCAGGUAGAGGUGGCUGAAGGGGUGUGUACAGGGUACAGGUGUAAGGGGGUGACGGGGGAUCGGGGGGCAGUGACUGCAGGUAGAGGUGGCUGAAGGGGUGUGUACGGGGUACAGGUGUAAGGGGGUGACGGGGGGAUCGGGGGCAGUGACUGCAGGUAGAGGUGGCUGAAGGGGUGUGUACGGGGUACAGGUGUAAGGGGGUGACGGGGGGAUCGGGGGGCAGUGACUGCAGGUAGAGGUGGCUGAAGGGGUGUGUACGGGGUACAGGUGUAAGGGGGUGAC